GAUUCUGGAGCAGGUCCCUUGAUAGCAGCUCCCUUGAUAUCAGCUUUCCUUGAUUGCAAUUCGCAGAUCCCUUUAUAGCAGCUCUCUUAAUGAUAGCAAUCAACUUUAAUCCUCAAUCUGAUCUGCUAGCUCAUUUUCCCUCCUUGUGGCUGCAUUCUUGUUGCUCUGGCGUCGACCAUAGGAUCUGGCCACAAAGGCAUACACAACAUUACCCCCCUCUUGUGGAAAAAGCUUGUCCUCAAGCUUAAAGUCUGGAUAGGCUUCCCGGAAGUCAGAUAAUAUUUCCCAAGUGGCAUCAUUUGGAGAUAAACCAGCCCAAUUCAUUAAAAUUUCCUAGGUACCUCUGUUUAAUCAAGAUUGCAUCACUGUUUGAGGAGAUGGAAUGAAUUUACCAUUGACCAUAGGAGGUAAAAUUGGAAUAAAAGAUGGAAGAGUGCUCUUAAAUUCCCGCAAUAAUGUGACAUGAAAAAAUCAUGAAUUUUACUAUUAGAAGGUAAUUCCAAUUGGUAGGCAACAAAACCCACUGCUCGUAAUAUUUUAAAUUGACCAUGGAAUCGAGGGGCAAGCUUAGAGGGGCGUUUGCCAAUGACUGAAUGUUGUCGAUAAGGUUGGAGACGCAAUCAAACAAAUCAACCAGGAGAAAAAGAUAAAUCACAAUUUUUCGAUCAUAAAACUCCUUCGUACGCUGUUGAGCCUAUUGCAAACGAAGGCGUAUAUCUACUAAAACAGAGUCUCAGUCUAUUAAGGCUUGGUUGACAGCAUCUAGACAAGAAGUAGAUUAGAUAAAUGGCUUGGAGGCUCUUUAUCAUAGAUCACACGAAAAGGAGAAGUGCGGAGAGAGGAAUGAAAUGAUGUGUUGUAGCAAUACUCUGCCCAUGGCAGCCAAUCAACCGAUUUUCGUGGACGAUCCCCAACAAAGCAGCAAAGAUACAUCUUAAUAGUGCAAUUAACCGCCUCCGUUUGUCCAUUCGAUUGGGGAUGAUAGGCUGAUGAAAAAGGCGAGCUUUAUUUAGCAUAAGCGAAAUAGCUCUCUCCAAAAAUGAUUAGUAAAAACUGAAUCUCGAUCACAAACAAUAGACUCAGGUAUUCCAUGUAAACAAAAAAUAUGUUCAAAGAAUAUAUGUGCCGCACUAAUAGCUGAAUGAGGAUGAGCCAUUUUUGAAAAUCGGUCAAUAUCAAUAAACAAAACAAAUUUUCCAAAUGAUUUCGGUAAACCAUUGAUAAAAUCCAUAGAAAUAUUUGCCCAUACUUGAUGCGGAAUUAUCAAAGGUUAAAGGAGACUUGCAGGAUGCAAAUUGUCGGUCUUGUUUCAUUGACAAACUAUGCAUGCUUCCACAAAAUCAUGAAGAGAAGACUUUUAUCCCUUCCAAAAGAAAUCUCUUUUAAUUCGUUGCAAGGUCUUUUGAAUCCCUUCAUGAGUGCUAUUGUGCAUUGCUGAUAGAACAGAAGGAAUUAAAGGAGAAGUUGGCAUUAAAUAAAUGCGUCUUUUGUAAAGAAUCAACCCAUCUUGGAUUGUCCACGCUGACCCGUUCAACCUGAGGUUGAAGCUCUUUUAAAGAAUCUGUAGUGCCGAUUUUAGUUCGAAAAGCAUCAAUCAAAAGCACUAGCGCUAUGAAAUAGCACAUAAGAUCCCUUUCUCAUUGUCUCGCCGACAAAGCAUCUGUUGCUUUGUUUAUAUACUUGAAUUUGUACUGAAUCCGAAAAUCAAAGCCCACUAAUCUAUCGAUCCAAUGUUGCUGCGGAGAAGUGGUGAACCGUUGUUCUAACAAAUAUUUGAAACUAUAAUAAACGGUGCGAAUUAAGAAAACCCGACCCUAUAAAUAAUGUCUCCAAUGUUGCACUGCUUUAGCUAACCCGAUCAACUCUCUUUGAUAUGCAAGCAAUUUUAAAUGUUGUUCAGCUAACUUCUGGCUGAAAAAGCAAUAAGAUGCCCAUUUUUUGCAAAACUGCACCAAUGCUAACACUCGAUACAUCACAUUCUACCACGAACUCCUCUUCAAAAUUCGGUAAUUGUAGAAUAGGAGCACUAGAGAGGGCUGC
rnacentral:misc_RNA from 1 species